rnacentral:lncRNA from 1 species
UAAAAUUCAGAUAUUUUUAUUUUUUUACUGAUAUCACAUUGUUCCAGUGCCUUUUUUAUUUCAUUUUAGAGACAGAUUCUUGCUCUGUCACCCAAGUUGGAGUGCAGUGGUGCGAUCAUAACUCCAGAACCUCAAAUUGCUCAGCUCAGAAGAUCCUCCUGCCUCAGCCUCCUGAAUACCUAGUAUUACAGCAUUUUAAAUAUGUUGCUUUACUGUCAUCUGUCCUUAAUGGUUUCUGAUGUCAUAUCCACCGUCAUUUGAAUGAUUGUUCCACCAUAUGUAAAGUAUUAAUUUCUGGGUGUUUUUAAGAUUUUCUUGUUCCUUUUGUCUUUCAGCCGUUUUACUAGGAGGUACCUAUACCUGUGUAGAUGCUUCUUUCAAAUGUGUCCUAUUUGGAGUUUGCUGACCUUUAGUAAUCUAUAAAUAUAGGCCUUUCACCAGAUUUGGAAAGUUUUGGUCAUCAUUUCUUCAAAUAAUUUUUGUCUCAAAUUUUUCCUUUGUUUCUAGGACUCCAAUUACCUAAUUAAGGUGUUAGACCUUUUGAAAUGUUCCACUGUUCUCUGGGGCUCAGUUUGUACUUUUCCUUUUUUUUUUUGAGAUGGAGUCUCCUCUGUCACCAGGCUGGAGUGCACUGGUGCAGUCUUGGCUCACUGCAACCUCCGCCUCCUGGGUUCAAGCAAUUCUCCUGCCUCAGCCUCCCAAAUAGCUGGGAUUACAAGCACAUACCACCAUGCCCAGCUAAUUUUUGUAUUUUUAGUAGAGAUGGGUUUUCACCAUGUUGGCCAGGCCGGUCUUGAACUCCUGACCUCGUGAUCUGCCCGCCUCGGCCUCCCAAACUGCUGGGAUUACAAGCAUGAGCCACCGUGCCUGGCCCAGUUUGUAUUUUUUCAUAAACUUUUUGUCUCUUUUUCAAAUUGUAUGAUUUCUAUUGAUUUAUAUUUGGUUUUACUUAGAUUCUUUUGACACCUUUAUUUUAAAAAUU